rnacentral:tRNA from 1 species
GAUGUGGCUCAGUUGGUUAGAGCAUGGUGCUGAUAAUGCAAAGGUUGCAGGUUUGAUCCCCAUGUGGGACA